UACGUAGGGGGCAAGCGUUGUCCGGAAUCAUUGGGCGUAAAGCGGGUGUAGGUGGCUAUCUAAGUCAGAAGUGAAAGCCCCAGGCUUAACCUGGGAAGUGCUUUUGAUACUGGAUAGCUUGAAUGUGGGAGAGGAUCGUGGAAUUCCUGGUGUAGCGGUGAAAUGCGCAGAUAUCAGGAGGAACACCGGUGGCGAAGGCGGUUCUCUGGGCAUUACCUGACGCUGAGGAGCGAAAGUGUGGGGAGCGAACAGG
rnacentral:rRNA from 1 species